rnacentral:tRNA from 1 species
GGAUAUGUGCCCGAAAGCUAGGAUUUACCUUGAUAAGGUAAAAAUAGGGGUUCAAACCCCCUCAUCUCCU